CCAUGCAAGGACCAAACACAUUGAUUUGAGAUAUCAUUGGAUUCGAGAAAUGGUAGAUGAUGAAUCUCUAAAAGUCUUGAAGAUUUCUACAAAUGAGAAUCCCGCAGAUAUGUUGACCAAGGUGGUACCAAGGAACAAGUUCGAGCUAUGCAAAGAACUUGUCGGCAUGCACUCAAACUAGAAGACAGUGCUACCUCCUCUGGAUGAAUGAGACUGGAGGGGGAGAUUGAUGAUGUCCAUCUCAUUGAAGAAGUAUUAGGCAUGUGCCUAAUAAGAGUUUUCUUUGGUUUGGUAGCCAACCUAGUUGACUUGGUUUGGUUGGUAGCCAACCUUGUUGAAUUAGUUUGAUUUGGUAGCCAACCUUGUUGAAUUUCUUUGGUUUGGUAGCCAACUUUGUUGAAUUGUGAAAAGUGUGUGUAAAUUGUCAAAUAUUGUAGGCUUUAGAGGAUGAAGCUUUGGCUAUAAAAGGAGAGCUUCAACUCUCAUUUCUUCACACCAACAAAGAGAGAAAGAAAGAGUGAGGUUUCACAGACAAGGUAUAAGAAAAUAGUCUGUGAGGAAAAUAGAGAGUGAGCGAUAUUGUAGUGAGGUGGGAAUAUCAAAAGAGGGUUAUUUCUUUUGAGUGUUGUAGUGGUCUUUGGAGUAUUUAUCUCCGACCUACAAAGUGUAAAAUUCC
rnacentral:lncRNA from 1 species